CUGGCAGUCAUUCCACUGUCCGAGUUGUAAAUUGAAGAGAAUGUCAUCCACACUGGACCAUGUCUAAAUUGUAAUAAUCCACAGUCCUUUGAUGGAGUAUCAGAGAGGGUAAUAAUCCCGUCUUUAACGUGGACCACCAGUGUUUAUGUGAUGCACUCUCUCAGAGUCGAGUAGUUUGGGAAUGCUGCUCUAAUGGGAGGUUAACUCCUUCUAAAGCUAAAUAUUGGCGAGAGACCGAUAGCGAACAAGUUCCGUGAGGGAAAGAUGAAAAGAACUCUGAAAAGAGAGUCAAACAGAACGUGAAAUUGCUGAAAGGGAAGCGUUUGGAGUCAGAUGCAUCCUCAAUGUAAUACGGCUCAGUUGGCAGAGACUGAGAGCAGUGACUUGAAGAUGGGCCAGCACUCACGUAGAUCAUUGGAGAAGGGGUCAUGGAAUGUAGCUCAAUUCUUGAGUGUUUAUAGACUUGAUUCAUAUACAAUGUGUCUUAUGUGUGUUAAUUGACAGCACGAUCUUGACUCCA
rnacentral:rRNA from 2 species